UACGUAGGUGGCAAGCGUUGUUCGGAAUUAUUGGGCGUAAAGGGCGCGUAGGCGGCCUUCUAAGUCGAACGUGAAAUCCCCGGGCUCAACCCGGGAACUGCGUCCGAGACUGAAAGGCUUGAAUCCGGGAGAGGGAUGUGGAAUUCCAGGUGUAGCGGUGAAAUGCGUAGAUAUCUGGAGGAACAUCGGUGGCGAAGGCGGCAUCCUGGACCGGUAUUGACGCUGAGGCGCGAAAGCCAGGGGAGCAAACGGG
rnacentral:rRNA from 1 species